rnacentral:rRNA from 1 species
UGCAACUCGACUCCAUGAAGCUGGAUUCGCUAGUAAUCGCGCAUCAGCCAUGGCGCGGUGAAUACGUUCCCGGGCCUUGUACACACCGCCCGUCAAGCCAUGGAAGCCGGGGGGUGCCUGAAGUGCGUGACCGCAAGGAGCGCCCUAAGGUAAAACCGGUGACUGGGGCUAAGUCGUAACAAGGUAAC